AAACACCCAAACUGUUGCCUUUAUAUUGGAGGAACAAUCUGGCUUGGGUUUCACAUUCUUUCCCUCAGAAGUGAACAUGUGCUGCCUUUCCAUCUUCUGAAAUUGAAUGUCACUGUGGUCAAGUCGAAAGCCAACCUGAUUAUUUCUGCUCUUACUCUGUAGCUGUUCAUUUGUAUCAUCAAGCUCUGAAGAUGACUUGCAGCCCAUCUCCACUUCCAUGGAGGUUUCCUAGGCCCAGGAAAAGGAAGUGUACAGUGGAAUUUUCCAGAGGCUACAUGAUGCAACAGAUUGAAUGCAGAAGCAAGAUAUGAGAAUCCAGCUGUCUUCAUUUGCACUACAUGUUAAAGAGCUUUGCAGAAAUGUGAAACAAUGCCACUUUUCUAAUUUUUUUGUUUUGGAAAAUAAACUUUUGGUAAAAAUAUGUUAUUUAUAUUAACAUGUAAAUGUUUUAUGAUUGUUAUUUUAAAUAAAUUAAUAAAAACAU
rnacentral:lncRNA from 10 species